rnacentral:ncRNA from 1 species
GAGGUUUUCUGUAAUGCAGAGUGCGGCUUAAGUGGAGCGUGCGGCUUAAUUUGACUCAACACGGGGAAACUUACCAGGUCCAGACAUAGUAAGGAUUGACAGACUGAUAGCUCUUUCUUGAUUCUAUGGGUGGUGGUGCAUGGCCUUUCUUAGUUGGUGGAGCAAUUUUUCUGGUUAAUUCUGUUAACGAACGAGACAUCAUCCUGCUAACUAGCUAUGCGAAGGUAUCCCUUUGCGGCCAUCUUCUUAGAGGGACUACGGCCUUUUAGGCCAUAGAAGUUUGAGGCAAUAACAGGUCUGUGAUGCCUUUAGAUGUUUCGGACUGCACGCGCGCUACACUGAUGUAUUCAAUGAUUUUAUAGCCUUGGCCAACAGGCUUGGGUAAUAUUUGAAAUUUCAUCAUGAUGGGGAUAGAUAAUUAUAAUUGUUGGUCUUCAAUAAAGAAUUCCUCGUAAGCGCGAGUCAUCAGCUCGCGUUGACUGCGUCCCUGCCCCUUGUACAUACCGCCUGUCGCUCCUACUAAUUGAAUGAUACAGUGAAAUAUUUGGAUCGCGGGGAUGUGGGUGGUUCACUGCCUGCGACGUCGUGAGAAGUCGAUUGAACCUUAUCAUUUAGAGGAAGGAGAAUUCAUAACAAGGUUUUCGUAGGUGAACCUGUGGAAG